CCAGGAAUGUGCAGAGGAAAACGUCAGCCCUCGCCAAGCUGACAUUUGUAUGCGUGAGUGACAGACAGCAAAUCACGAAUAAACAAGAUACUGGACAAGCUGCAGAGGGUCUCCCUUAUUUCUUUAAUCAGAUACAGGAAAGAACUCAGGCAGGUGCUGAACUACCCAUCCUUCGCAUCAUCUCCAGCCUCACCCGUGAAAACUUGAAGCUAUGCUCAGAAGUGGGAGACCAUUUGGCGAUCUUUUCGGUAAAUACAGCAAAAGGGAGAAAAAAGAACAAUACCUAAUGGAUCCAACUCCUGCGUCCAAGCAGACAGUUUAACCCCUGGGUCAUCGUGCUUGUAUUUCACUUAUUGGAUUGUUAAUAGAUUUUCUUCAUUUGUGUGAGACGUUGCGAAUGAUGUGCGGAGGCCGCCGCUUCCUCCGGCGCUGGGACUCGAGGUCCACCUGUAAGGAGAUGGCGUUAAAAGCUGCUGGAGUUGCUGCCUCCUGACAACAUCCCAGCUGUAGACUCGCAAUCGCAAUCCUCGGGUGGCAGUUUUAAUUAUCGGCACCGCGAUACCAUCAGCAAGUGUGUAAUUACGUGUCAGUUUCCUGGCUGUUGGGUAUGAAAAGUGGAUCCAGUGAAAUGAUGAUUGUGGAAGCUGUAGACUCAUAUUUAAACAAUUCAAAAUGUGUAACUGGCAGUGUCAUUAAACAGAGAGAGCCUGACCCCAGCUGUCACUUACUUUCCCUUAUGCAGAUUUGUUCGUGCUGUCUGUCAAAAGAACUCCAUGGGCUGAAAUGGGACAGAGGGAGGUGACAUAAUUCUCCGAGCAAAGAGGGCUGCUCUCCUUAACCCCACAGAGGCGUUCUUUUAGCCUAAACAAAUACGACUGCUGAAAUUGUAAAUAAACCAAGACCAUUACGGGAAAUUAUAUAGACUUUUGCCGAUGAAUACACAAAGGCAGAAUAUCAAACAGACAUCCCUUCUUAAAAAAUGUGAAUAAAACCUGCCCGAUUGUCAUGCACUUAAAGAAGAAGUACUGUGGUAAUUGGGAGGGUUGAUGUUUGAAGCAGAAAAUUAAAUGACCCUUUUAGUUUGAGAUCAAAAUGGUGGGUGCAAGAUGAAGAAAAGGGGGGGCUUAUUUUGAAAACUGCUCUGUAUCAACAGUGAGAAACAUGAAUGGAUAAAAAAAAUUACACAGAUUUAAAUAAACUUCAGUAUGGCUUAGGUUAUAAGUUGUCAUGGCCUGAAAUGCUUUGAAUCCAAUUGGGAAAACAGAAAUACAUAUGCUAAAUAAAUGAAGGUAAAAAUAGGCAUGAUUGGCCUUCUAAGAAGGGUGGGUUAAGAAGUGAGAAAUACUCAAAUUUCUGCAAAUGUAAUUACAUAGUUCCGCAGCCUACCAACUACACACUCCUGGGAGAUGGGAGAAACAUGCAUUUGCUCUCAAAAGCCUUCAUUUUACCUGGCAUGCUAAAAAGGACCUUGGUAACCAAGGGUUAAGUCUGCGUGCAUGCAAAAAUACAUGAAAGGCGAAUUUAUAAAAUGAAGCGUGGAGGUUAAGUGUGGGGGUUAAACUAACACAAUGAACUGUGAACACAAAGAAAAAUGUUUCUUUAAUUUUUAAAAUGUUUUCACUUCUCAUAAUAAACUGAACUUGCAGUUGCAUGCAAACAACAUUAUUUCAUACCCUGAAGACACCACAAUUUAAAGCUUGUGGAACUCAAAUUGAUUCUAGAAGCAAUGUUAUAACUACAGAGGCGCUUUGGCAAUUGUGAUCUUCUGAAGGGCAUCAAAUCACACCUCUGGUAGCACAUCUGAAAGUAAACACUUGCACACAUGCACACACACAAGGUAGGAGGCAUUUAAAACAGGGUCAACGUCG
rnacentral:lncRNA from 10 species